UUCUCGUUCUCGUUCUCGCUCCUGCACCUUGUGGCCAUCAAGUGGUUGCAGGACGAGGCCAGUUGAAAAAUCAACGGAAAGAAAGCAAAAGUCAGACGGAGCGUGAGGUCCAUGGAUCACCGAUCUGUUCCUCAAUGCAACCCUCGAUGCACAGGAACCUUCCACACGGUGGUGUAGUGAAGUCGAUGAAAGAGGAGGAGGAAGAGGAGGCACUGACGUCCACUGCAGUAAAACACCACAGAAGAAGACAGAGGAAGAGUUUUCUGAAUGUGUCCUAUCUGGCUGUGUCAGGAGGGUGGGUUUGAGGUUUGAGGGCGUCACCUGAGCUGGGAAGAUUCACAAAUUAUCACUUUAUGCUGACGAUCUCCUUUUGUAUAUGUCCAAUCCGCCAGCCUCUCUCCCCGUGGUUCUCAGUAUUUUUGAUAAAUUUGGAUCCUAUUCAGGUUAUAAACUUAAUCUCCACAAGAGCGAACUUUUCCCCCUGAACCCUCUGGCUAAAGGUAUACCCCAACCUUUUUUCCCCUUUAAGUAUGCUAUGGAUGGAUUUAAAUAUUUGGGGGUGUCCUUUUCUGAGCUCUCAAAGAAAAUUGACUUACCGAAUUCCCACCUAUUCCGUUUCUUUCAAAUAAGACAUUUUUUCAGAACCAGAACCCGGCACUCCCUAGUCGUCCCCCGGAAACGCUAGUGGACUCCUUAUUAUCUCUUCAUCCUGAACGUAGGGGGUUAACUUCUAGUAUUUACAGCCUUAUCAGUUCUGCUAUUGACAGUCCAGUGUCUGGUCCCAGUGCUUCCUGGGAACAAGAACUUGGAUUCACACUGGGUUCACUCCUCCUCGAUUUGUGCAAGACACGGCCUCCUACAGUGUAAAGUUGUGCACAAAGUUCACUACACUAAUUUGAGGUUAUCUCGGAUUUACCCCAAUGUGAGUGCCUCUUGUAAUAGGUGCAAACAAUCUCCAGCUGACCGUACACAUAUGUUUUGGUUGUGUCCGAGGCUUUCCACAUUCUGGUGUGAAAUCUUCACAACUCUUAGCACGGCAUAUGGUACUAUUAUUACUCCUGAGCCUCUCCUGGCCUUGUUUGGUGCUCCCUUGCAGCCUAUUUCCUCUAACGUUCUUACAUUUACUACCCUGUUGGCCAGGCGUCUUAUACUCCUCACCUGGAAACACCCUCGUUCUCCAUCUCACAGUAGAUGGGUGAAAGAGCUGCUACUGUCCAUUAGACUGGAAAGGUUUAGGUUUUCCCUGAAUGGAUCCUUAAGUUCAUUUGAGAGGACUUGGAAACCUCUUUUAAAACAUAUUGAAUGCUUGACAUCUCUGCCUGAUUGUGAUGAC